GGUGGCUUGCCUCAGUGGGUAGAGCUUAGGGCUCGCGAACAGAAGAUCCGGGUUCAAAUCUCGCAAGAGGCGG
rnacentral:tRNA from 1 species